rnacentral:pre_miRNA from 1 species
ACCAAAGGUCUGGUCCAAAGCCCACUGAAGUCGAUGGGUGUCUUUCCACUGACUUCAGUGGGAUUUGGAUCAGGUCUCAAGU